UUGAAUCCACGGAUGUUUGGAUCCAGCCCCUGGAUAUGGAGGGCUGACUUUAAUCUUCCCCCAUCCUUAAGUAUCCUGUGAAGUUAUAAAUGAUGUGUGCCAUGUCUUACACCAGCAACUGUGCCCCCUUGGCCUGGGCACAUGUGGCAACUGUCCAUGCAUCAUGUUGUUUAGGUGAGCUUGCUGUUUCUGUCCCUACUGCUGUUGGCCCAACAUGGAAAUAUGAACUAGGUAAAUAAUUUUCAAAAAUCCAGACAUUAACUUAUUUGCCCCUGUAGGAGUCUUUUUUCCAGAGCUGAUGAUAAGAAGACAGUUUCCUUUGCAGCUUCUUUCACCUGGCAUCUAUUUCACACAGGAGGGAGGUAAGUUUUAUUUUCAAUGGCACUAAAGAUUGUUUUCCUGGAUUGUUUUCACAAACUGCACAUGAACAAUGUUUCAAAAGUAUUUCCUGAAUUAGGUGAUGUCUGCAGGGAGCCAUGAAUCAUGCUGAAAACAGUAUCGUUCAAAACUUUGCCAGGAAGUCUCUGGCAGAAGUGUGUUAGCGAGUCUUAGCAAACACAGCUGCUUCCUUUCUGUUCCAAUCAAUCAGCCCAGCCUAAUUUCCACAGUACAAGGGUGGUAAGUCCUAGAUAUGCUUGCUGAUAACUGCCAGCUUUUAGCAUGUGCAGGUUAAAGUGCCUCUUCCUAACUGCGAUAGCAGAUUAAACUCUUCCUAAUAAACGUUGUUCUAGAGCUUCCUGAAACUGGACACAGAAACAGGUCUUAGGGUCCACCAGGGACAGUUCCCAUGAUUGCUGGCAUACAACACUGCAGCAGUGGCCGAAAGUAGUGUCAUAAAUCAGUAACAAAUCCAACUCUUUGAUAUUAUCAUCUUACUGCUACAGAUUACUUGGAAAAUACGCCAAAGAUAGAGAAAAAGUAACGAUAACGAUCACAUUUCAAACCAUAGCAAUCACCAACCUGAAUUUCCACAUUACCCAAGUGUUUUUGUGUCAAAGUGGCACCAAUCUAAAACUCACACAGAUACUUACCAUCACCUUCUAUAACACGAUUGCAGUGGAAGCAAACAUCACCAAAUAGCUGAAAAUAAAAAAAGGUGGUCGAAGUUCAAGAUGUGUUAGAAUUUUUAGAACAUUGAACAUUUAAAAAUAGCUGGCUAUCUAAAUUGAGGAUUUAUCACUACUAGAGAAAAUUAGUAAAAGUUCUUUGACAAGUUUUUACUUCUUACAAUGAAAGUAAUUCACUCUCAUCAAUUAAAAGAAAAACUUUCCGGAUGACAGUUUGAACACCCAAAUAAGUGAUGCAAAAUAUAGAAAUCUGUGAGUCCAUAUGGAUAAGAAAUAGAUAAAUGAAUAAACCUAUAGACGGGAGAGGAGGUGGGUUCUUGCUCAGGCAGAGCGCUGAGGACCAGACUAUGGAUGGAGGGCAUGGGGCUGGAGAAGUGUCGUUUGCAGCUGGCGCAGAGACAAGAAUCAUCAAGGGGUGCGAAAUCUAGGGCGGGUUGAUGAGGAACAGGACAUUUCCGUGGUCAUAAAAUGAUUGCCCACAGAUUGCUUCUUUCUUACAAAGGAGGGAAGGAAAUUGUAAUUCACAGUGAUGUUAUCAGCCAGCACCAUGCCUGGGAGAUCACCAGUGCAGGAGAGGUAUAAAAUGCUCCAGGGGCAAGGUUCUGAGAAGAUGCCCUGCCACUGUAUGAGGCCACAACCUGCUGUGUAUAACCUCAUCUAAGCACAGAGAAGCACCAGGUGAACCCAAGUGGAAAGUAGUCUAUUAAAAAGGGGUUAGGGGCCCUCUGCAUCCCUCCAAAAUGUCAAUGUCAUCAAAAAUUUUAAAAGACUCUGGAAACGUUCCAGAUUUAAGAAGGCUAAAGAAACAUCACAGCCAGAGGCUGGGUCCAGUCUGGGAGUGGAAAAAAUGCUGUGAGGAUAUUAUUGACUCAAGCGACAAAACUGGAAUAAAUGGGUUAAAGUAUGGUAUCAAUAUUGAUAACUACAAUUAUGUUAGAGAGUUCCAUAUUCUUGGGAAAUAUACACUGAAGUAUUUAGGGGUAAAGGAGUAUGACGAACUUAUUGGCAAAUGCUUUAGAAACAGCCAUCAUACUUGUAUAUAAUAUUUACGUAAGUAUGUGUUUUACACAGGAAGACUGAGCUUGGGAAAUGAUAAAGCAAACUGUGGACUUGAAUGAAAGACAUACAGAAGAAGGUCCUCACCAGACGCCAGCCCCUUGAUCUUGGACUUCCCAGCCUCCAGAACCAUGAGCCAAAUAAACUUCUGUUGGUUACAAAUUA